GGGCCCGUAGCUCAGCUUGGACAGAGCACCGGCCUUCUAAGCCGGGGGUCGCGGGUUCGAAUCCCGCCGGGUCCG
rnacentral:tRNA from 1 species